rnacentral:rRNA from 1 species
ACGGGGGGUGCAAGCGUUGUUCGGAAUCAUUGGGCGUAAAGCGCGCGCAGGCGGCUUGGUAAGUCAGAUGUGAAAUCCCUGGGCUUAACCCAGGAAGUGCAUUUGAUACUGCCUCGCUAGAGUACGGGAGAGGAAAGUGGAAUUCCUGGUGUAGGAGUGAAAUUCGGUGAUAUCAGGGGGAACACCGGUGGCGAAGGCGACUUUCUAGCCCGAUUCUGACGCUGAGGCGCGAAAGCGUGGGGAGCAAACAG